rnacentral:rRNA from 1 species
GAAAGGGCGCUUCGGUGCCCGAGUAGAGUGGCGCACGGGUGAGUAACACGUAGACAACCUGCCUUUGGGUUCGGGACAACCUUUCGAAAGAAGGGCUAAUACCGGAUAAGACUCUCGCUUCGCAUGGGGCGGGGUUAAAAGGGGUUUCCUGCCCGGAGAGGGGUCUGCGGGACAUUAGCUUGUUGGUGGGGUAACGGCCCACCAAGGCGAUGAUGUCUAGCGGGUCUGAGAGGAUGAUCCGCCACACUGGAACUGAGAGACGGUCCAGACUCCUACGGGAGGCAGCAGUGGGGAAUUUUGCGCAAUGGGCGAAAGCCUGACGCAGCAACGCCGCGUGGGUGAAGAAGGCCCUUGGGUCGUAAAGCCCUUUUCUGGGAAAGAGCAAAGACGGUACCCCAGGAACAAGCACCGGCUAACUCCGUGCCAGCAGCCGCGGUAAUACGGAGGGUGCAAGCGUUGUUCGGAAUUACUGGGCGUAAAGGGCGUGUAGGCGGAUUAGCAAGCUGGGGGUGAAAGGCCAGGGCUCAACCCGGGACUAUCUCCCAGAACUGCGUAUCUAGAGAGAGUCAGAGGCAGGUGGAAUUCCUGGUGUAGAGGUGAAAUUCGUAGAGAUCAGGAGGAACACCGGCGGCGAAGGCGACCUGCUGGGGCUUUUCUGACGCUGAGGCGCAAAAGCGUGGGGAGCAAACAGGAUUAGAUACCCUGGUAGUCCACGCUGUAAACGAUGAGCACUCGAUGUGCGAGGUUUUCGACCC